rnacentral:misc_RNA from 1 species
UUUCCGUAGGUGAACCUGCGGAAGGAUCAUUAAUGAGUUGUCAUGGGGUUCGAUGCUGGCAGCCAGUUUUUGGAUGCAUGUGCUUGCCCUAACAAUCAUCUUCUUCCAAACACCUGUGCACAUUUUUGAGGGAGUCUUGAGUUGGUUGCCGCUCUUGGGUGAUUUUCUCACAUUCCCUUAAAUCAUUAUACGCUAUUAACAAUGUUGAACGUGCUCUGUGCCGCAAGGCCAUUAAUAUAAUACAACUUUCAACAACGGAUCUCUUGGCUCUC